rnacentral:rRNA from 1 species
AAUGAACGCUGGCGGCGUGCUUAACACAUGCAAGUCGAACGAGAAAGUUCCUUCGGGGACGAGUAAAGUGGCGAACGGGUGCGUAACACGUGAGUUAUUUACCCUUUAGUGAAGGAUACCCUCGGGAAACCGAGGUUAAUACUGCAUAAGUCUUUUCGAAGAGAAAGGUGGCCUCUUUGCUACCGCUAAAGGAUAAGCUUGCGGACUAUUAGCUAGUUGGUAGGGUAAAGGCCUACCAAGGCUUAGAUGGUUAGCCGACCUGAGAGGGUGAUCGGCCACAUUGGGACUGAGAUACGGCCCAGACUCCUACGGGUGGCUG